AAAAAGGCCAAAAUAUUUAAAAGGCCCUAAAAACUUUAUCUACAGGAUCCAACCCUGACUACUUUUAUAACUUCAUUUUCUACCACUCCAUUACUGAACAAUGUAAACUAAUAAAUAUAUAUAUAUAUAGAAAACCAGAGGAGAAAAUUGCUGGGUGCUUCAUGCCUAUAAUCCCGACACUUUGGAAAACUUACUUGGGAGGAUGG
rnacentral:lncRNA from 1 species